AUUGAACGCUGGCGGAAUGCUUUACACAUGCAAGUCGAGCGGCAGCGCGGGGCAACCUGGCGGCGAGCGGCGAACGGGUGAGUAACACAUCGGAACGUACCCAAUCGUGGGGGAUAACUAUCCGAAAGGAUAGCUAAUACCGCAUAAGUCCUGAGGGAGAAAGCAGGGGAUCGCAAGACCUUGCGCGAAUGGAGCGGCCGAUGUCAGAUUAGCUAGUUGGUGGGUAAAGGCCUACCAAGGCGACGAUCUGUAGCUGGUCUGAGAGGACGACCAGCCACACUGGAACUGAGACACGGUCCAGACUCCUACGGGAGGCAGCAGUGGGGAAUUUUGGACAAUGGGCGCAAGCCUGAUCCAGCCAUUCCGCGUGAGUGAAGAAGGCCUU
rnacentral:rRNA from 1 species